CCUACGGUGAGCAGCAGUGGGGGAUAUUGCACAAUGGGGGGAACCCUGAUGCAGCGACGCCGCGUGGGUGAAGGAGUGCUUCGGCAUGUAAAGCCCUAUCGGCAGGGAAGAAGCAAGACGGUACCUGACUAAGAAGCCCCGGCUAACGACGUGCCAGCAGCCGCGGUAAUACGUAGGGGGCGAGCGUUAUCCGGAUUCACUGGGUGUAAAGGGAGGGUAGACUGCCAUGCAAGCCAGGGGUGAAAGCCCGGGGCCCAACCCCGGGACUGCCCUUGGAACUGCAUGGCUGGAGUGCGGGCGGGGCAGGCGGAAUUCCUGGUGUAGCGGUGAAAUGCGUAGAUAUAAGGAGGAACACCAGUGGCGAAGGCGGUCUGCUGGACAGCAACUGACGGUGAGGCGCGAAAGCGUGGGGAGCAAACAGGAUUAGAUACCCGGGUAGUC
rnacentral:rRNA from 1 species